AGGAAUGUAUAGCGAAAGCUAGUUGUAUUUAAUUUAUAAAUUGGUGCAGCAUCGACUACGUUGAAUAAAGUUCUAGAUGGGUUAUGAUUAUGACAUUUCCUGUCUAUGUGUCUUGACUAAAUUACGUGCCAGCAGUCGCGGUAAUACGUAGAAGACUAGUGUUAUUCAUCUUUAAUAGGUUUAAAGGGUACCUAGACGGGGAAUCAAGUCCAAAAAAGGAUACUAAUUUUCUAGAGUUUAAUAUGAGGGGGCAUUAAAGUACUGAUAAGUGUAGAGAUGAAAUUCUGUGAUACAAUAUAAGGCACUGGCAAAGGCGAAAGCAUCUCAUUAUGUAAUAACUGACGUUGAGGGACGAAGGCUUUGUGUAGCAAAAAGGAUUAGAUACCCAAGUAGUCUUAGCAGAAAAUUAUGAAUGUCAUAGGAUGGAUAGGAAUUUUUUCUAUAAAUGAAAGUGUAAGCAUUCCACCUCAAGAGUAAUUUGGCAACAUUGGAACUGAAAUCAUUAGACCGUUUCUGAAACAAGUAGUGAAGUAUGUUGUUUAAUUUGAUGACCCGCAAAAAACCUUACCACAAUUUGAAUAGAAAUUUUUAUUUCGUACAAGCGCUGCACGGUUGUCUUCAGUUAAUGUCGUGAGAUCUUGGUUAGUUCCAUUAAAUUAACGUAAACCCUUACUUUAUUUAUAUAUAGAGUAGUUCACCG
rnacentral:rRNA from 1 species